UUUAUCGAUGAAUAGAUAGGUGCCGACUAUCCUAUGGGUAGUCGGUUAAAAGGGAAGUUCGGUGUAAAUCCGACGCGGUCCCGCCACUGUAAAUGAGAGCGACCUGCUUCAUGUCACUGUUCCAGAAGGAAUGGGAAGACGCAGGAAGCGAUGAUCAUGAGCCAGGAGACCUGCCUAUCUAUCCUCACCAUU
rnacentral:ncRNA from 1 species